GUGACGCAAGCGCAGUUGCUUCUCGAUGCUCGUUAGCAUCUCAGUGCGCAUGCGUCUCUAGAAAGAGAAAGAAGAAGGGACGUUAAGAACACUUCUACUCUUUCUAUCAACCUGACGCUUCACCCACGACCUUUUUUUCAUCUCUACGAUUUUCGCCUUAGUGGCGCAUCACACCGCAGUAUUUCGUUUGAAAUCGGAGAAAGAAAAGUACUCGACAGGACACCGAAGAAUGCAGACUUGUCCGGAAUCUUCUAUUUCAAAGUGACAAGGAGAGAGGAAACACGAGAAGUAAAAAGGGGAUAUGGAAGAGUUUCCAAACUACAACACAUUUUUGAAGAAGGAAAUUCAUAUUGAACACUCUGAGGGUCAUUUUUAACAAUAUAGACAUUUCUUUUGUCAUCGAAGAUUGAUGAGAAUCAAGAG